UUUAAAUAUUUUAUUAUACUUAUUGUUAUAUCUUCUAUAUUAAUUCAAUUAAAAGUUUUUAUGCUACUCUCAAAAUCACUGAUCCCACCAAAUCUCACACUCAUCCUUCAUCUCUACUCCGCUACCCCACCCUUAAUUUUUUUUUUAAAAUUUUUAAAUUAUUGUUAAAUUAUUUGCUCACUCCCCCUACAAAUAAAAUAAUUUUUUUAUUUUUAUAUAAAAAAAUUCCCACACCAUCCACCCCAAUCCCCUUACUAAACGCCUUCCCCACUCCCUCUUCCUAUUUUGUUCUAUUAUUUUUAAAACCGUUUUAAAAACUUUUCCUUAUUCUCACCUCCUGUCUCGACCCCAAAAAAAUUUAAACUUUUUACUUUUUUUUUUAAGAAAAAGAAUUUUUUUUGUAUCCCCACCCUAAAACGUCACCUACAUCCACUACUCCAUCUUUCCCCACCCACCUAGCCCCGAUCCGACUACUAUAUUUUCCUACCCUCAUCUUCCCCCAUCUUUUUUUUUGUUUAAUUUAUGAUUUUAUUAAUCAAAAAUAGUCCCGAUGGACCAACCCAUCUAAAAAAAUCCAACAAAUUACAAUUGAUGUAAACAAAAGGACCAGACCAAAACAUUGACCCGACCCAAUAAAACAAACAGAUAAAAGAGAGUAGGGUUUCCUAAUUGAGCUUAGAGCUAAGCUCUCUUUCACUCAGCCUCCUUCAUCAUGUCUUCUUUCAUUAAGGUGCAGUUCUAUCUUCUUCAGUUGUGGGUACUUAAUACUAUGCCAUGGAUACUCCGGCUUGGAGUUUUGUCCAGCUUGCAUGAGUGAUAUCUCCAGCUUAUGGAUGCUACUAAUGUUUUUUGGAGCUAACACAUCGGGUCUAGUCCAUUGAUGCUUGUCUCUUCCUCCAAGUAUAGCUGGGAUGCUCAAACCCGCUAAUAUUUGGAAGAAUUCAAGUACCUCAGUCGCUUGAUAUGCAUCUGACCAUGUGACCCCCUACCUGUUGAGAUUCCAUUUUUGUUGGCUAGUGUAGAUAGACUAAGUAGCAUUUUCACUUUUUUGUUUACCUUAUCAGGUUGUACAUAUAGUUCAUUUGAAAAAACUACUUGUUGCCCUUCCAGUCCUCUUACCCCUUUGCUGGUACUAGUCUCAAAUAUGGGCAUUACUGCUUGUCACUAUUAAGAAUCCUCCUGCCUAAACUUGGUAAUUGGUUGAAUAAAGUGAAUGUGAAAUUACCUUAUUAAACUGCUAAGUUAGCUAAGUAAUCAGCCAGUUGA